AAUGAACGCUAGUGGCGUGUUUUAUACAUGCAAGUCGAGCGGAGAUUAGCCUGCGGUCGAAGGAGAUUUGUCCGUAGUUUCUACGGAUGAUGAUCUUUUGGCUAAAGGCUAUUCUUAGCGGCGAACGGGUGAGUAACGCGUGGAUAAUCUACCUCUGAGUGGGGAAUAACAUUCCGAAAGGGAUGCUAAUACCGCAAAUGUUAUUCUACCUCGGUAGUAUAACCAAAGUUGGAAUCUUUGAUUCUUUCGCUCAGGGAUGAGUUCGCGUCCUAUUAGCUAGUUGGUGAGGUAAUGGCUCACCAAGGCGACGAUGGGCAGCCGGCCGGAGAGGGUGUACGGCCACACUGGGACUGAGACACGGCCCAGACUCCUAUGGGAGGCAGCAGUAGGGAAUCUUCCGCAAUGGGCGAAAGCCUGACGGAGCGACGCCACGUGGAUGACGAAGGCCUUCGGGUCGUAAAAUCCUGUCAGGGGGGACGAUGGUCGAUCUUCGGAUUGACUGACGGUACCCUCAGAGGAAGCUCCGGCCAACUACGUGCCAGCAGCCGCGGUAAUACGUAGGGAGCAAGCGUUAUUCGGAUUUACUGGGCGUAAAGAGUGCGUAGGCGGUUAUAUAAGUCAAUGGUGAAAUCUCCACUUUCAAGGUGGAAACUGCCUUUGAUACUGUAUGACUAGAGGGCAAGAGGGGGAAAUGGAACUCUGGGAGUAGCGGUGAAAUGCGUAGAUAUCCAGAGGAACGCCGGUAGCGAAGGCGAUUUCCUGGCUUGCAUCUGACGCUGAGGCACUAAAGCUAGGGUAGCGAUCGGGAUUAGAGACCCCGGUAGUCCUAGCCCUAAACGAUGGGUACUAAGUGUGGGGGGAGCAUUACCCUCCGUGCUGAAGCUAACACGUUAAGUACCCCGCCUGGGGAGACGGUCGCAAGGCU
rnacentral:rRNA from 1 species